AACCCAAACAAUCCUCCAUUUGCAUAGUACCUCAACUUAACCAUUGUGUAAUUUUAACUUGUUUGGCUGCCUUCCAUACACUUUGAACCACCAAACAAUGGCUAAAUACAUGGGGUUUAAUUGAGUGAAAAUUUGAAUAUCUUUAGGCCAUGAUACACAUAUUGUAGCAUUUAGAAUUCACAAAAUUUUGACUUCCAUAUACCGGUAACAAACACAACUGUAGAGCAAUUCUUUUUGUGCUUGGGAAUGCCACUAAGUACCUCUACUGAAUCAGAAAAAAGGAAGAAGAGAAUGAUUCAUCUGGCUUCAUUGUUGAGAGAGAGAGAGAGAGAGAGAGAGAGGAGGUANNNNNNNNNNNNNNNNNNNNGGCUUCAUUGUUGUAGAGAGAGAGAGAGAGAGAGAGAGAGAGAGGGAUGUGCCAUAUCCCACAAGACUGCUUUAUUUUUGUGGAUAUCUUGGGAUUGUUCUCUUUGAUAGCUUUCAUUAUAUGGUAAAAACCAUCAGAUAGUCCGAGCAUUAUAACUGUGUAAAACGACAGGAAUCCAUGUCAGUGAAUACUCUUUUUUUGCAUACACUCACACAAAAAACAAAGAAGAAAAAAAUAAAAAGAAAGAAAAGUUCAGUGCAAGGCUGCAAGUACGUGAUUGUAUGACUCUACUUGGAAUUUUUUC
rnacentral:lncRNA from 1 species